rnacentral:rRNA from 1 species
GACGAACGCUGGCGGCGUGCUUAACACAUGCAAGUCGAACGAGUGGCGAACGGGUGAGUAAUACGUGGGUAACCUGCCCUCUGUUUGGGAUAAGCCUUGGAAACGGGGUCUAAUACCGACUAACGGGGGAUGGGGACGGGGCCUAUCAGGUUGUUGGGGGGGUGAUGGCCUACCAAGGCGGUGACGGGUAGCCGGCCUGAGAGGGUGACCGGCCAUGAUGCAAGUGACAUACUGCUCAGAGAGCUACGGGAGGGGGCUGUGGGGGAUAUUGCACAAUGGGGGAAAGCCUAAUGCAGGGGCGCGGCGUAGGGGAUGGAGUCGUUCGAGUUUUAAACCUCGUUCGCUAUCGAUCGGGUAGGUGGAGAAGAAGCGCCGGCUAACUACGUGCCAGCAGCCGCGGUAAUUC